AUUGAACGCUGGCGGCAGGCCUAACACAUGCAAGUCGAGCGGAUGAAGGGAGCUUGCUCCUGGAUUCAGCGGCGGACGGGUGAGUAAUGCCUAGGAAUCUGCCUGGCAGUUGGGGAUAACGUCCGGAAACGGGCGCUAAUACCGCAUACGACCUGAGGGAGAAAGUGGGGGAUCUUCGGACCUCACGCUAUCAGAUGAGCCUAGGUCGGAUUAGCUAGUUGGUGGGGUAAAGGCCUACCAAGGCGACGAUCCGUAACUGGUCUGAGAGGAUGAUCAGUCACACUGGAACUGAGACACGGUCCAGACUCCUACGGGAGGCAGCAGUAGGGAAUAUUGGGCAAUGGGCGAAAGCAUGAAACAGCCAUGCCGCGUGUGUGAAGAAGGUAUUCGGAUUGUAAAGCACUUUAAGUAGGGAAGAAGGGCCGUAAGUUAAUACCUUCAUGUUUUGACGUUACCAAAUGAAUAAGCACCGGCUAACUUCGUG
rnacentral:rRNA from 1 species